ACCUUAUAUUCACCACACUACAGCAUAAUUGCUGCUAGCAACAUUGAGCAACAUGCUGCGGCAACAUACUUCACUUACUACACUCUACAGCUGCAAAAUACACCACACACCUUGAGCGCUCAAUACACUACCUUUCUCCAGCAUUGCGCUCUCAUCGAACACUCUCUCUUUCUCUCUCACCUGCCGGUAAACUUCAACUUCACUUUCGCUCAACAACAUUCACUAAUCAAACCAGAUCAGUUUCUGAUGCUUGACUGCCUAGUCACAGGCACACUGCACAUAUGUAUGUAUAUGUGUGUGACAAUGCUUCCGCUUGCCUGCUUGUCUGCCGGUUCGACAGUGAUCGAAGACGGCAGCAGACAAUGUUGCUUCGCUCGAGUUGCACGGGCUAUAUCGCUCGCCGCAAAUGCCUUACCGCCAACACCACCACCACUUCAAUGGCGAUCGGCCAACUAACUCUGUUCUGCCUGUGCCGGUGCUGCAUCAUUCCGUUGUUGCAUUUCCACUUGUACACGUGUGGCAUGCGGCAUUUCACCGGCAGCUCGAGCUAAAAAUAAAUUUGUUGCAUGCAUUUGUUCGUGCGUUGCACUUUCGGCGUGUUAGCGGUGCGCAAAGUGAUUGACAGAUAGGCGUGUUGACUCUGAAAAUUUAACGGUUGCCAUUUAAAUGUUUAAGUGUAUUAAUUGAAAUCAAGUGUAAUUGACUGUUAAAGUAUGUUUUCGGUGAUCAAAAAAGUUAAAUGUUUGUAAAUAAAGAUUAAUCAAUAAACUUUAUAAUAAAUUAAGCGCUUUUGCUUCAUUUGUGUAAUCUGCAAACGAAGCUUAAAGUGGACUGAUUAAAAAUAAAAAGCACGUGAAUCGAUCAAUGAAAAUCACUGCUGAUCUUGCGCUAUCACUAUACUACAAUUUCUAACUUUGAUUCUAGUGAAUAAAUAGUGAAUUCAGUUUCGAUUUACUUGACUGCUUUUGAAGUGAAUCGAAAACACCAGAAGUGCAUAAAAUUAUAGGCCAUUCCAAAUAUCGUCGUUCAGUGAGCGUGUCAAUUUGUAUGCCCAGCAAAGUCCGCUCUGGUAUCACCUUCUUGAUUUAAAGUGAAACGCAGCAAAAUGAGAGAUCGCUGCGCUCACCAGGAAUGCAGACAGCAAACAAAUUCGAUGGUAAAGUCUCUUCGGCAAAUCUUGAGUGAUAACUACAAAGAAAAAAGUAAAUAUAGCACCAUGAAGCAAACAGUUAAACCGUGGCGUAACGAUCAGUGAUCGCAGAACAAACAGGACACUUUAAAUAAAAAAAAUAAAUUGUAGUUUGAAGCUGGUUAAAAGUUUGGUUAUCUGAUUUCAAUAUAAUAUGGUAUAUGGUAUAACCGUAUGAACACUAAUAUCGGUUAGUUGUUUAAAUAGGUUGGCGACCACAAGGCGUCUUUAUAUGUUAAUUAGAAAAAUUAAUAUACAAGAUACUGGCAUGUAUUCGCUAAUUAGAAAAAUCUAGAAGGGUUGAAAUUUUGAAAAACUGGAGAUAUUAUUACAGUAAAAGUCAACAAGUAUUCGAGUAUUUUAUUAAAACGUGAUCAUGACUUUACAUAGACUGAUCUUGUUAGAUACUAAAAUAUUGGGAGAAGAUCACUUCUAUUAUUAAUUUUAAGUGAACUAUGAUGGGUUUUUAUUAAAGUAAAGUAACCAAUUUAAAUUUUUUUAUAUGCUAUGCAUUCAAAAUUUCAGAAGAUCACUUGAUAAUAAGUAGUUUAAUGAAGUGUUAGAAUAUUUGGUUUUUUGAGUGAAAACUUAUUAUAUUCUUGAGUUUUUAAGCACUUUUUACAUUUCAGUAAGUAAUUAUUUAGGUAGAACCAUCGCUAAACUCUCACUCGUUAUAUCUGAUCUUGUUGCGAGAUCGGAAAAUACAGAUUGCAAGGCUGAUCUCUCUAAUUUUAUUUCGUAUUUUAAACUGUAACCACUUCACUUUACCAACAAAAUUUACAAAUUAAACUUGAGUAUGAAAAUAGUUAAAAUGAUGGUAAAUGAUCAGUUAUCUUGUUGCUCACCGUUCAAGUGCUUGUUUAUUGUUUCAGUGCAAAUUACCUACUUAGUAAUAUAGUAUGUAGGUUACUAUGUUAGUCACGUAUACAAUAUCACUUCAUUGACUAAAGUGUAUUAGUGUGAGCUUCAAGAACAUAAAAGGAUCGUGUUAAACUCACUUGCAUUAUGUGCGUGUGGAAAAUUAGUGCAAACAACCCUUUUGUUAUACUUAGCAGACCUCUCUUUAAGUUGGAACCAUAUUACGGUUAUGGAUAAGUAUAUUAUAUAAUAUUUGACGCUGACAUACCAAACAAAUUUACUCAGCAAAUAUUGAGCACUUGAGGUAGUUUGAAGUAGUUAUCGAUGUGUGAGCCGGACUCGAGCAAAUAUUUGUAAAGGUGAAGCGAAAAUAAACCGAAAUAUAUAUAUGUAUAUACAUAGGUGAUAAUUAAAUAGCCAUUUUCGGUUGCUUAUGAAUUUUGCAUUUCUUUGAGAUUUUUUCUUCUUCUUCGUUUGUUUUUUUGUUUUUUUUUUUGUACCGAAAUUCGAUAUGGUUACCAAUAUUGCUCUUUCGUUAUUGGUUUUUGCCACAAUUUUCGGUUUUGUUUUGAUUUUUGGGUAUUUUUAGGCAUGUGACGCAUGUCGCAUGGAAUUCGAGAUUAUGCAACAUUGGUCAGCAACAAAAGAUCGGUUGGAGAAAAGCAAUUAAAUGAACAAAAACCGUUAAAUUUUUACUCAAUGCUUAUAAAAUGAGCGUCAAAUGAGCAAACGAAUAAAAAAACAACAAAUUAUACACGCAGGAAAUAAAUGGAUUGUUUUUGUGCAGCCUUUCUUGUAGCAAAUCUGCAGAAAAAAGUGCGAAAACAAUUGAUGAGUGGCACUUGAAAGUGUUACUUUCAACAAGCCACAAAAGCAACAACCAAUGAGUGGCGAUUAUGAAAAUCAUAGAAGAAACGCACACUAACGUGCAUACAUAUACACCCGCAAUAAAGCAAUUGAAAUGUCAUUGCACAAAGCCAAAACCUACAAGGCACUAUAAUAACAACAAAAACAAACAACCGUAAACAAAACAUAAAAAGAAACGACGAAGAAAAUAUUGAAGGAAAAAAAUUGAAUAAAAAUUUGAAAAAAAAAGUUGAAAAUAAAAACUGAGAAAAAACCGCCAAACGCUUAACAAAGCCAAGGUGACCAGACUAUGACCAAACGUCAGGUAAUUUAAAGGCGAGCAACUGUCUAAGCGGCAACCAAAGCAGGCAUGCCGCUAACGAGCGCUCACACACGUGAGUGUUGUUGUUGCAUUCCGGAUAUGAGUGCGGGUUUUUUGGGUUCAAGCAACAGCUGGCCACAAAAUGUGUGGAAGUGAGGCGUUGCUUUGUUUGUUGUUGUUGUUGACUUUUUGUUAUUUGCUUAACAGCCAAUCGACGGUCAUAAAAAUAUGAUUAAGCGCGCAUGCGUGCCACAUGCAACACACAAGCUACCUACAACAACAACAACAGCCACAUAUGGUGCUUAUAUGAAAAUGCAGGUCAUACACAGCCUAUAAAUGAAUAUGUGUAAUAGGAAAUUUUUUAUGAAAAACAAAUAGUGACAAAAAAAUACAACAAACACUGCGUAGUCAGUUUUUCUUCGCUGGCGGCAAAAAUGACAUAAAAGUCAUAAUCAUUGAUCAAAUAGCGGUUGCUUGGUGAUCAAGCGAUCGCGCAACUUUGAUGACAAAGAAAGGAUGGCAGGCAAGACAGUUAGACUUUAAAAACAAAUAAAUAUACAUACACAGAUGCAAGAGUUUUUAUAUAAAAAAGUCAAUAAAUAGAGCAUUACGAGAAAUUGUGUAAGCAUUGUGACAAUGCUUUAAAAAAAUAAGCAUUGUGUGGCAACUUUUUGUAAAAUCAAUUAUUGCUUUACGCUAUUUGUUUUGUUGCUUCAAGUGCUUGUACGCAUAUUGUGAAGAUUAUUAUGAAAAUUAAAUUUAACAAAUAGUUUUCAAUGCUAACAUUACUUGUAAGUUUUUAGUACCGAACUAAUCGGGAUUCCAAAAAAUUGACCGGAUCCCGAUAUUAAAAAAUAAAUUUAAUAGAUGGUGCUGUAGUGUUAAUAUUAAUUUUAAACUUUUUUAGUCCGGAAAAAAACGUGAUACCGAAAAUAAACGGGAUCCCGGAAAUUAAAUUUAAAUUUAAUAAAUAUAUUUCUAUGUGAACAAAAAUUUUUAAUUUUUUUAGUACCGAAGCAAUCGGGAUUCCGCAAAAUAACCCGGAUCCCGAUAUUAAAAAAUAAAUUUAAUAGAUGGUGCUGUAAUGUUAAUAUUAAUUUUAUAUAUUUUUAGUCCCGAAAAAAUCGGGAUACCGCAAAUAAACCGGAUCCCGAAAAUGAAAAUAUAUAUUAUAAAUGGUAUUUAAGUGGUGUCAUUAACUUUUUUGGUUCCGGAAAAAUCGGGAUAUCGACAAAAAACGGGAUCCCGACAGCUUAAAUUUUUAAUAUUGGUAAUACCGGCUACAUAUGGUAUACACAACCGUCGGGUAUUUCAUAAUUUCAAAUUAACAAUACUAAACUCCCGGUGUUGAUUAUAUUCAAGUCUUUCUAAACCUUUCUCGCUGCUUUCCUACCCUUUCUAAACGCACUUAAUAGCAGUGCAACAAAGUAAUUGCUGUAAAAUAGCAAAUCAUCUAAUAAGAUUAAUUUUGAGGAAGGUGGGAAUAAUGCAUUCGGGUAUAUCCCACAGGUAAAUCGGGAUUUUGAAGACAAAUUAAUUUCUCACCAAAAUUUGUUGUUUCUCAAGAAGAGUUUACAAGUUAUUUUGCCUUCUAUCGGUAACACUUACUUAUCCAGCAGAUAUUAACAUUUUGAAAGAAAUGAAUUUCGUAAAAAAAUCUAACUUGAUUCCGCUUUUUCACGAAAUUUUUUUUUUUUAAUUUUUUAAAACGAAAAGAGACUGUUUAAAAUCAUUUUCCAUUCUGGUGUGAUAUUUUUUCUAUCAACGCUCAAUCUUAAAAGCUAUAAAACGAAAUAAUAUUUUUCUUUUCAUUCAAUAACUACCGAGUUGACUAAUCAAAUUGAUUGUAAUUAGUUUGUCCUUUUAAGGAAUUCUCUCAGAAUUAUAAGCAUACUUGAUUUUUCGGUAACUUGACAGACCUUUUAGAUCAGAAGUGAUCGGAGGAUUCAGAACUCACCGAUAGAAAAAUAUAAAUGUAGUAAUGAUACUGAUAUGCUUCAGUUUCUUUAACAACUGUAUCAAUUGAGCCCAUAAGCUUAAGUUAUUGAAUUCCGGUUUCUUCAAUAAAUGUACUUUAUUCUACAUGAUAAGAUUUUAAUAUAGAUAAUAAUUUUGAACGAAAAUCUAGAACUUCUUUGAAAGCUUUUGUGAAAUACGCAUAGCUGAGAAUUUUCAAAACUUUCAAACGAAAAGAGGACUUAUUACAAAUUUAGAAGAAAUAAAAAGUAACUGUUUGAAUUAAUGAUUACUUAUAGUGGAUUUCCUGCCAAUGUGCCUUAAUGUAGGCACCACUAUGCUGCGAUGUAAAAAAAAUAAUUGCCUACGUUUAGGAUGAUGUUAAAUAGUAAUGGUUAAUCUUUAGUUCCAAUUUUUUUUAGCGAGCUGUGGAAUUGAAAAAUAAUUUGUUUUAUAAAACACCUACUUUCCAAAAACUUCUUUCUGUAUAAAUAUUAAAGAAACAUAACAAACUUAAUUUUUUUUAUAGUUUUGCGAUUUUGUUUUGAACAUUUUUUUUUGCUGCAAUUUCAACUCAUUUAAAUAUAUUUACCCGACAGAUUUAUCUAAUUUGCUUCGAAUACUUUUAUAUAAUCUCAGCCCAAACAUAAUUCUGUCGCCAUUUUAAUAUUACAUUUAACGGUAUUUAUUUUCGUACUUUUUUAUUAUAUUUCUUCUUUUGGUUUUUCACAUGCUUUCUGAAAUAUUUUUGCCAAAUCAUCAAAUCGCAUUAGCACCAUAAACCUUUGUAACUUUUAUGCUUCAAAUAUUAAAGCAAUCGCAGACGAUUUUGUAAUACAUCAUUGGCUAUAAUGAUCUUGGAAGGUCAGUCAACUGGUUAAAAAAAAAGUUAGAACAAAAAAUAAAAAAAUAGGUAUAAAAAAAAUAAAAAAUAAAUUAAGACAGUCAUCUUAGAUGGCUCAGUUGGCGGCUUUUGAAAGAAAUUGCUUCACCAUAACCUAAAAAAAUAUUGGAAUUUUCUUUGAUCUUGCAGUAAAACGGAAAUAGCAAAUAUGCCGCCAAUGAGCACGAGCUGCAUUUCCGCUUAACACUUGCGCUCAUUAAACAGAGGCUGCGCAAAUACGAGUAUAUGUAUAUAUAAUACACAAAUAGCAGUAUGUGUGGCAUAAUAAUUAUGUAUAAAUACAUAUUUAAUUUGUAGAGCGCGCAGAAGAGCACGAAAGAACAAAUAAAAGGUUUUUUAUUUAAAAUUACUUCCGCUUUUGGCGGCUAUUUUCUUAUAAAUCAAAAAACGGCAUCUUUUUUGGGUCGAAGUGUGGAUUUUACAGCGCCAAUUGCUUAUUAUUAAUUUUUUUAUUUAUUUUUUAUUUAAAACAUUUCUGUUUUUUUUUGAACUUUUUUGUAUUAAUUAUUAAAAUUGUAAAAUAAUUCAUAAAAAUUAUACAAAAUUUAGUCUUUAUUUUUUCGAUUUUCUUUGUAAAAAAUUUAAAAAUUGUCUACUGAAGUGCAGCACAAAUUAUUAAUACUUCAACAUUUUGACCCACAUAUCUGCAUAACUGUCACUAAGUGGCAGUGCCACACCGAAAUUUCAACAUGUUUUUUUUCGAUUUUUUACUUUUGCUUGCAUUUAAAUUUCUAUUAUUUUACGCUGCAAUUGCACGAAAAUUAAGUAUAUUUUUGCAUACACCCGCAUUCAACAUCACUUUGUGCGUCCCACUUUGACAGCUGUCAAUGCAUUUGAAACCGUUUAGAGUAUUUUUGUGCAAAAACGACAAAAAAUUCUGAAAGGUAAAUUGUAUGCGAAAUUUCAAUGGAAAAAUGAAUUGUAAAAACAUAUUAAAAACAAAAAUUAAAAUACAAAAACAAAAGAGUUUUAAAGAUUUAUAAAUUAAAAAAAAAUAUUAUAAGCGAAAUAAAAAAGUUUUAUUUUUAUAAAAGCUUAAAAGGAAUUAACAUAACAAAAAAUUUAUAGAAAUUUACACAUUCCAAAAAAAAAAAAUUUAAUCGCAUAAAAAAUUAAAAAAUAUUUAAAUAAAAACUUUAAGAGAAUAAACACCAUAAAAACUCGCAGAAAUGGGCGAAAAAUAUCUUCAACAACAGCAAUAACAAUAAAACACGCAACAAAAAGUUAUUACAACACCACACAGAAUCCAAUAAAAGUAUUGCGCAAUUUUGCAGAAAAACAAUAAAAAAAUACGUUAUGUAAAUCAGCAAAUAUUUAUGCACAAGUAUAUACAUUUCUACACUACCGAGUGCUGGAGUUACGGCAGCUGUCAUAAACUGUCUACAGCUGUCAUAAAUGGGAACACUCUAACGCCCAGGCAAGAACGCGCCCAUGUGAAAGGUAAAAACGGAAACAAAAGCAAGUGAGCAAAAGAAAAUAAGCAAAAAGGCAUAAUAAUAAAAACAAAAAAAGAACAAAGAAAACAAAAACAGCUAAUGGCCAGAAAAAUGCCUGUAGUGAAGUGGAAAAUACGCAAAAUUUGGUUGCAAAACAAUGAAAUAUGCGGUAAAAAGCUCAUAAAUGCUUUACAAACAAACAAAUAUAUAUGUGUUUGUGUGUGUGUGUAAAGGCCCGCCUAGCAUGUGGACUAUGCAAACAAGCAGCGCGCAGGAAGUCGCUUAAAGAGUGCGCUGAACUUUUGCUUUUUUGCGCGUUUUCAGUAAUUUGUAACAGAGUGGCAAAAAAUUACAAAGAAACUUAAUUUUUUUUUAUUAAAAGCAUUAAGAAAUUAACAAGAAAUAUAAAAGAUUUAAAAAUAUUUUUUACAAAAUACAAAUUUACAAAUUAGAACUAGACCAGCUCUAGGUUCUACUUGAGCCUAUUUUCUAUUAUAUAAAACUUUUUGCGUUGCUUCGUCUAUCUUUCUUAAGCCUUAUCUAUCUACUUUCCUUACUUCGUUAACAUUUUUUAUUGCUAUUGAAUUCAACUUCUUCUUCACUUUGCUUAAAGUUUGCAGCAUUUUGCACAAUGACCUUCGCGUCAACGUUUUUGCCACCGUAUUUUUCCACGCCGUAUUGGUUUGUAGAGCAAAAAGCGCAAAAAUAAGGCACUUAGGUUUUUUAGCGUUUGCUUUUUGUUAUGGCGGCAAAAUCAUGGGUAUUCACUACACAAAAAAGAAAAAAAAUUUAGUUGCAAAAACUUCUGUGAAAAAAAACUGUUGAAAAAAAAUAAUUACUCUAAGUAAAAAAAAAAUAAAUGCUCCCAUAGCAGUAAGCCUAAAAUCUAACUCCUAACAUGUAUGAAGUGAUACUAAAAAAAAUAAAUUGAGUUCGAAUCUCCUUGCUCCAUAAAGUGUUAACACUUAUAAACCAUUAAAAUUAAUUUUUAAGCCUUUACAUAAAUUUUAAUGAUGCCUUAAGAUCACUUUAUCUGAUCUCAGUUGACACAAAUAACAGUAAAAAAUAUCGUAUGUUGAAAAAAAAAAAAAUAGUUGUCAUAUUUCAUAAUAUUUUUUUAAAAUUAAAUUAAAUAAUAAUUAAGUGAGCAAUUUGCACCUGAGUAGUAAUGUGAGCUUCGACUCGGGCAUUGAUAAUUUGUUUAAUACUUUUUUAUUUUUUGUUUUAUGGCAACCCUGAUAUGUAUGUCUAUGGAUUGAUGUAAAUGUUUUUUUUUUGUAAGUAAUAACUCAUUGAGUGGUUAAUCGUCAAAUUUUAUGUCUAUUCCAACUUAAAAUCCUCCAUUCUAGAGAAGAAAAUCGAUUUUUUUUUAAAUUUCUUAAAGUUCCCUUGAAAUCCACAACUUUCACAGAUAAGUUCUCAGCGGUCGAGUUCUUGUAUCUUCUAGAUAUCAUAUAUCGAAAAUGGCUACUUUUGAGUUCACAAAACAUACAAUUUCAUCCGCCCAAAGAGAAACUACGGUGGGAAUUCUCAACUGGCUUAUAGACCAGGGUAGAUAAUUUUUGAAAGCAAAAAAAUCAUAGUAGGAUGAAACUCAUUGAAAAAGAAUAUUUCUACAAUGAAAGAAAAAUUAAGUUACGUGUGAUCUUUGAUCGGAAAGAGGAAAGGGAGGGCGUGGUAGAAUUUGUAUGGUUUAAAACAGUUUAAAAAAAAUCCAAAAAAAUUUUCGUUAUAAAAAUCUACAAUAUACUAAAUUUUACUCGCAUUUAAUCGAGUAAAGUAAUUCAAA